GACGAACGCUGGCGGCGUGCCUAAUACAUGCAAGUCGAACGCAGUGGGGACGGGUGAGUAACACGUGGGUAACCUCCCAUCAGAGGGGAUAACACUUGGAAACAGGUGCUAAACCGAUCCUGAUGGAUGGACCCGAGGUGCAUUAGCUAGUUGGUGAGGUAACGGCUCACCAAGGCCACGAUUCAUAGCUGACCUGAGAGGGUGCGCGGCCACAAGGGGACUGAGACACGGCCCAGACCUCUACGGGUGGCAGCAGUAGGGAAUCGUCGUCAAUGUACGAAAGUCUGACCGAGCAACGCCGCGUGAGUGAAGAAGGUUUUCGGAACGUAAAACUCUUUUGUUAGAGAAGCGUUAUCUAACCAGAAAGCCACGGCUAACUACGUGCCAGCAGCCGCGGUAAUAC
rnacentral:rRNA from 1 species